AUUUUAUUGCCAAUUGUAUUCUGUUUUUAUUCUAAUUUGAAGUGUUACUGUUUUGUUAAAUGCUGAGUUUUCCCCAUGUACCGUGAAUGCACCAUAGCGCGUGCGUGGUGACUUUCUUUCACUGCAUCCGCCUGCACGGAGCUAGAUGCGCAAAGCUGUGUGGAUAUUCAGUCCUGUAACGUGUUGCGCUACGGAAUUAAUGUUUUCUAUGAAGAAUAUCCUGGCUGGUUUUUUUUAUGUAGUAGAAAUCUGCUGCGAGGACCGAGCGGUGCCAUCUAAGGACUGGAUGCCACUGGAGGUGCCUAGAAAGGACGUUCUCAAUCUGAAGGCCACCUGUUUCCUUGGAGGGUGGUAGGAUACAACGAUUUGCAAUUUUUUUUGGACUAACGUUUUUUUUCUGAGAUCUCAGGACACUUUAUGUUGUUACUUUUUUCUUUUUUUUGGGUCAGAUCUGAUUCCACUUAACAUCAAAAAGCAAACCAGUGACUAAAGACAAUUAACACUUACUAAGAACACUGAAUACUAAGUGCACUGAACUGAAAUGGACAGCCUACCUGAUACAUUUAUGGACACUUUAAGUGAUAUGUUGUACAUUGUUGACAUUUACAUGUUUGAAAUGAUUUAAAUGUUUUGUUCAUGUCUAUGUUUUGGACCAUUUAAAUGUUGAAUACACUCAAAUCACUUUUCUCCCUUUAAGUUGUUGUCAGUGUCUCAUUCUGAGUGGAGGGAUAUUCCUUCUUUAAGUUGAGUUACCACUGCCAGUCUCCUUACGAUCCUAACUGAACCCAACAAGAGUAGAUUCUCAAAUAUUGUUUUUUUCCUUGACUUUGUAUGACAGAUUACUGUGGAUUUGACUGAUUUUGGACUACUCAGUUAAAAAGGGUGACAAUCACAAACUGACAUCUGGUGAUACGAUGUACCAAAUAAAAAUGGGCCUCAGUAGAUGUCAUGGUUCCCUUGCUCUCUUUUGCUGGCCUGCUUCUUUCUCUCUCCUCUUUCGGUGUAUGCCUGUGUUGUUGUCCGUGUGCUUGUCUUUUUUAGGGGAUGCUCCUCCAUCUUCCCGUCCCUCAGUCACUUGUGAACAAUCAGCUGAUUACUCGCCUGUUCCUCACGAGGUCUUCAUGCUGGCUUCUAAACAACCAGAUCAUUGCAGUACCAAGACGUUUCAGUGUUACGGAUCUCCAUGACCUUCUGUGACAGUGUCUGAGUGUGCCUCCAGACAACCUUCCCUACCUCUGCCCCGUCUCCUGGAGCCCACAGUGUUUAUCCUGUAUUUAUCCUUCUCUCACCCCAACCGGUUGCAGCAGAUGGCCGCCCCUUCCUGAGCCUGGUUCUGCCGGAGGUUUCUUCCUGUUAAAAGGGAGUUUUUCCUUCCCACUGUCGCCAAAGUGCUUGCUCAUAGGGGGUCAUAUGAUUGUUGGGUUUUUCUCUGUAUCUAUGAAGCGCCUUGAGGCGACUUUUGUUGUGAUUUGGCGCUAUAUAAAUAAAAUUGAAUUGUAUUGAUAACUAUCUGCAAAUAUACCUGUAAGACUUUACCACAGUGUCUCAUCAUCAUUCUGUUGUUUUCAUAACAGUACACUGUAGAAAUAAUGGACUGUCUAAUAGGUAUUGAGGUCAUAGUGAAUGUAGUUUAUUAGUGUGUGUCGUAGUAUGAUUUUGUUGUUUAUAGGAUUUAAGAUUAGAAAAUAGAAAAUAGUCCUGGGAUGGGAACAAAGAACUGGGGUGCAGGGAAGUGGGGCAAUUAACCCCCAAACACAGGACAGUAGCAAGAUUUACUGAGGGUGAGUGGCAGACAAUUGCCAAUGUACAUUACCUUAAAAGGAGAUGGGGGUCAGGGUGUCAGCACCCCAGGCCACUUUACCAGUGUUUUUCCAUUGUGGGGGAUUUACUGUAGAAAUUGGAGACCAGAGACUAUAACUGUAGCUGUUGUGUGAAACUCUUCAGAUCAGCCUUUAGAGUAGGACUGCACAGGAUGCAGUGUGCUGAUCUCCAGAUGCAUCUGUAAGGAAAAUGGGUAAUAAAAGGAUUGUGUGAAAUUUGGAAACAUCUCUGCGUGAUCUCUACCGAGACAAAAAGAAUUGGAGAGACCGACGUUGUCUCAACAACACUAAGUAGAUAUUCCAUAUUGCCAAUAUUAACAAAACCAAAAAGGGUAAGCCAAGUUAUUUAAAAAAAAGACAAUUCACAAAGUCUUGAAAAAUAGAAAUAAAGAAUAAAAAUCCUCAAUCCACUCUAUAACAACAGUCUCCUGCUUCCCUGCAGAUCAACACGUUCUCACUCCUAACUCGUCAUAUGUGCGACGCCCAUACAGCAUGUAUCACUUCUCAGUUAUUUAUUGCACUUCUUGCUCGUCAGUGAGGCACUUUUAGUGCUUUAUCUAUGUUUGUGUGGGGACUUGUUAUAAAUCAGUCUUCAACCUUUAAUCUCUCUCUGAAAAUGACUGGGAUUAAAUGCAGUAUAAUAAACUUUCCUGAACGUGUGUCUUGUCAUGAUCUCCAGUGCUGCCAUUUCAUAGGAUCUCCUGUCCAGGGCUUCUCAGACGUUGGUUGUUUUUAUAACUCCUCUCACCUUCUGCUCUUGUGUCUGCUGUGAUAAGCCUUUUAUACUCACCCAUUUUAUUUCCAUUUCUGUUUCUCAC
ensembl:lncRNA